rnacentral:lncRNA from 10 species
CCACAUGAGCCCUGUUGGGAGGGCUGCCAGAUGCAGGGAGACGCAGAGGCGCGGGUACACAUUGCUCCACCAGCCAGACCCAGAGCUUCCUAGUGGGGACCAGUCUGGAGCUUGAAAUCCCAGCCAUCACUCAAGGGGUUUCACUUGUGCCAACACCUUUCUUUUGGAGGGGGUGUGUUGGGGGUGUCCAGUGACAGGGUUAAUCCCCACAGUCCAUGAGGCCAGUGAUGUCAUGGGCUCCUGGGGCCCAUGGCACUGAGACCAGGUCCAGCACGAAUUCACCUGCCCUUCCUUCAGUGCCUUCCAACACCACCCAGCCACCACGGCCAGGCUGGAAGGACAGCACACCCCAGCCACUCAGGAGUCACUUCGGACAGCCCACCUAGGGGCUUAAGUCCCAGUGGGACAUGCCCACCCAGGCUGCCUCAGCUGCCCACGGGGCCUCCAACCACAGCCACAGGCUCCACAGGAAAACCCAACACGAUGACUGCCCCUCGCAGGCCACAGUCAGCCCGGCCCCAGGAGAGAGACCCGUGGAGCCCUAUGUCUCAGCAGGCAAGGUAGGGGGACGGGGCAGGGGCAGGGAGGUCCCCGAGUGCUGGCCAGGGGAGGAAUCUGCAGUGGUUGCCGGCUAAGGAGGGUCUGCCCUGGCCCCUGGGGCAUGGAGGCCCCACAGCCAGGCCCCACCCCCAGCUCCUGGGACCUGCUGGCCUUUUAGGAGACGGGGGAGGCUGGGCCUGACCUCUCUGCAGGUGGUGUCACUGCAGGGCCACACUGCACUGUGCUGGUUGUUGUCCAGGGUGGGCAGAUAGAGGGAUGUGGACGGUGGGAGCCAGGGGAAGGGCAGAAGGGGACACUGGGCCACCCUGGAGAAGCCAGGUCAGGGCUGGCCCAGCAGGAUGGGGGCUCUCUGCCUCUAUGGCCAGCAUUCCCAGCUGAGUCCCCAACUCUGCAGCCAGGAAGCCCCGUAGUGUGAAGGAUGGGGACAUCGCGAUGCCCUGGCCCUGAGCCCACCAGGUGGCCCCAGGGCCCCACCCUGCCUGGCUCUUCCUGCAUGGGUCUGGGGUGAUGGGGGCUCAUCUGAGGCCCAGUGCUGCCCACCUCGAAUCCCCAAAUCCCAAAUUGGAUUAGUUGUGUUUAGAAAGCAGCAAAGCUGCUAUAUUUGAGCAAAGGCUCAGCAGAUUACCCUGGGCCAAGAGGGUGUCUGCCUGUGUGAGGGGGAUUUGAGGAGGAAAAACUGCACUAAACAAGUGUUCAUUGAAAAGAAACUUGGGGGAUCAUCUGAGUCAGCCGGGCCCUCCACCUGCCCCAUAACACCUUCUCCAGCAUGGGCUCCUGCUGCUGCUGGGACAACCAAGCAGGAGUGGACGGGGUCAGGCCACAGGCCACUGGGCCCAAGGCCAGGAAGGGGCGCCCAGGACUGCCCAUGGGAGAAGGGCGUGGUGCCGACACGAGGUCACCUGGAGUCCCUGGGACUGGCCCUCCACCUCGUGACUCAGUCGCCACCCGGUGGCCCUCUCAGAAGCCCAGGGCCCAGCAUACAGGAAGCUCCAUGAGUGCUCAUCAUCACACACACUCCAGAGGCUGAGAACAUCUUGGAGGCCUGGGGCCUGCUGGCCAGACCCUGUCCUGGGCCCUGAACACAGGCUGGGCCUGGAAGGGACAGUGAGGGGGGCCAGAGCCCAUGCCUGCUCAGUGCAGCAAGCCCAGGCACCUGGUGGGUGGGCCCUGCAGCCAGGGAGGCCCCUGCACCCCACCCUUCCCAGCCCUGCCCUGGGUACCGUGUGCCACAUCUCAGAGCCCACCCAUGGGGCCCUCCCAACUCCAGCCAGGAGGGAGGAUAGAGAACUUUUAUUUCAGAAGAGUGCAAAUAAACAAAUCCUUCCUUCCCCCACCAUAAAGAGCCCGGCUGGCUUUAGGAGAGAAGGCAGAAUUUUUAGCCUCUCCUUUCCUCAAGGCACAGCAGGCCGAGCCUGUGUCACUCAUGGCCCCUUUUACAAGUAAAGAAUCCAGCUCUGGGCAGUCAGGUCUGCCCAGUGGAGGUGUUUGCCCUGGGGGGCCGGCUCACCUAUCCGUAGGACCUGGCUCCUAGGGGUCCAGCCAGUCCCUGGCCUCCUGUUGAUACGGAAAGGAAGUGCUGAGAAGGGAAAAGCGUGGUCCCUUUAAAUGAUACAGAGGAGGGACGGGAAGUGCUCCGUAGAGAAGGGCGUGGUCCCUGCCUAGGGCUCCACCCCCACGAACCUAGGUGAGGACAGGCAUUUCCUGCCCAAAUGUUGCAUUUCCCAAGACCACCCUGGCCUGCCAUGCCUCCAUCCUAUGCCUAUAAAAACCCAAGACCCUAGCAAGGCAGAGACAGAAGCCUCUGUGUGGGGAGAGGAACACACUGGUGGAAGAAGACAAGCUGCUGGACAUCCCGAGAAUGUUGCCUGACUCCAGGGGAAAACCAUCUCCCCUCUGGCUCCCCCAUCUGCUGAGAGCUACUUCCACUCAAUAAAACCUUGCACUCAUUCUCCAAG